UAGAGUUUGAUUCUGGCUCAGAACGAACGCUGGCGGCAUGCCUAACACAUGCAAGUCGAACGAGACCUUCGGGUCUAGUGGCGCACGGGUGCGUAACGCGUGGGAAUCUGCCCUUGGGUGCGGAAUAACUUCCCGAAAGGGAUGCUAAUACCGCAUAAUGUCGCAAGACCAAAGAUUUAUCGCCCAAGGAUGAGCCCGCGUAGGAUUAGCUAGUUGGUGGGGUAAAAGCCUACCAAGGCGACGAUCCUUAGCUGGUCUGAGAGGAUGAUCAGCCACACUGGGACUGAGACACGGCCCAGACUCCUACGGGAGGCAGCAGUGGGGAAUAUUGGACAAUGGGCGAAAGCCUGAUCCAGCAAUGCCGCGUGAGUGAUGAAGGCCUUAGGGUUGUAAAGCUCUUUUACCCGGGAUGAUAAUGACAGUACCGGGAGAAUAAGCUCCGGCUAACUCCGUGCCAGCAGCCGCGGUAA
rnacentral:rRNA from 1 species